GCUAUUUCACUACACCAGGGUU
rnacentral:miRNA from 15 species